rnacentral:lncRNA from 1 species
AUGAAGAAACUUGCCCGUGGUCACACGGUUGUUAGAGGAAGCACCGGAAACCGACCCCCCCCGGCUUGCGUUCUUUCCACCUUGUUGUCUGUUCUGCAGGCUGCCAUUGAGGUUGACCGUCUCCACAAGUGUUCACCGAUGGUCCAUGACGACGAUGGUCACAGGGUAGAAAGGAUGGAAUUCUAUGAAUUUCUUGAUCAAGGGGGAGAAAAGGAAAAAAAAAACCUUCCCACAGUCCUCGGGCAGAACCUGAAAAUCCCAGCAGCCGCGGUGAGAGCUUGAGAUGGGUCCUUAAUACAGGUGUGGGAAAGCAAGAGACAGGCAGCCUCAUGAACGAACAAUGUCACUGAGCAAAAAGUUCUCCUCCUGCUCUGGAAGCCGGCAAAGAGGACAGCAAAAUCAAAGCAGCAUGUUUUUUUCAGAACAGGGUGAGAAGAUCUCAUU